AUUGAACGCUGGCGGAAUGCUUUACACAUGCAAGUCGAACGGUAGAGGGGGCAACCCCUCGAGAGUGGCGAACGGGCGAGUAAUAUAUCGGAACGUGCCCCGUCGUGGGGGAUAACGUAGCGAAAGUUACGCUAAUACCGCAUACGAUCUAAGGAUGAAAGCGGGGGAUCGCAAGACCUCGCGCGAUUGGAGCGGCCGAUAUCAGAUUAGGUAGUUGGUGGGGUAAAGGCUCACCAAGCCAACGAUCUGUAGCUGGUCUGAGAGGACGACCAGCCACACUGGAACUGAGACACGGUCCUGACUCCUACGGGAGGCAGCAGUGGGGAAUUUUGGACAAUGGACGCAAGUCUGAUCCAGCCAUUCCGCGUGCAGGAUGAAGGCCCUCGGGUUGUAAACUGCUUUUGUACGGAACGAAAAGGUCUCUCUUAAUACGGGGGACUCAUGACGGUACCGUAAGAAUAAGCACCGGCUAACUACGUGCCAGCAGCCGCCGUAA
rnacentral:rRNA from 1 species